AAUAUCUAUGAAGGUGAUAACUCUGAAGAAAGAUAUGAAGAAACAGAAGAGAAAACGAUGGAAGUUUUGGUAUAUAAACUGUUCAGUCAAUCAAAUUUUACCCACUAUAUUUGUAAUUUCAUUUUGUUAUAUGUUCAUUUAUUUUAAUUGUUUAUCAAUCAAAUUUUCUGUUCUGAAGAUGGACACCACAUUAGAUGCUCAAGAAUGUGACUCAAAAAAUGUGGAAAAUGAUUCUUCUAGUGAUAGUUCAGAUGACAACAACCAUGAUGACGAUAACUCUGAUUUUAUUNACGAGCCACAUAUGACUACAAAUGUGAGAAUCUUGGACAUUGUUCAUGUAAUUGUUUAUUUUUGCAAAAUUUAAUACUUUAGCACCUUUCUUUUAUUUGUAGCCUGUGAAAAGUUCAGAGAACAGUGAGGAAGAAAUUGAGGAAAAUGCCUCUAAAACUCCG
rnacentral:lncRNA from 1 species